AGACACUGUUUUGGGCGUUUUACUAGAUGGUAUUACCAGAUGGUAUACAGCUAUGGAUGGAAAUACAUUUCUCGUAGCAGGUUAGGAGAAUGUACAUAUCAGGCCUGAAACCCUGCUUCUUCUUCAAUGCCAAAUAUCACUCCUCCAUGUACACUUGGAUCCACCGUGAACGCCUCCCUGCCAUCGUAUCCAGGACCUGCCACUCACCAUGACAGAAGCAGCCCAGAGAGGAGUCCCAUCACCAGACCUUGGAGAGCUGUACCAUGCCCCCACUGGGUAGUACCAGUGAUUUGGUGUUGUUCCUAUUUGUUUAGUACAAUGUUUGAUGAUGCACUGUCCAUAUAUUUAAGCAGAUUGUUCUACCUGUUUGUGUAUAACAUCACAUGUUAUGUACGUUUCUGCAUAUGUACCAAUAUGUUCUAAACCUGUUAAGAACUGGACAUCCAAUCACGUUCCUGCUUAUGGAAGCAGCACAUAACUGUGAAUGUUGCUAAAAGGUCUUAAAAAUGAUAGAUUUGAGAAUUGUUAUGUGUUUACAAAUGAAAGGUUCCAUCUUAUAUCAAACCAUUUCCUCUAAAGGCUGAUAUCCCACCUUGGUAAUGGAGGGAAUUUCAAUUGUUAGAGAUGUGAAUGUAACUGCAACCAAUGAUGUAGCUAUAUAAA